rnacentral:rRNA from 1 species
CAGUCGCCACGGGAACACGAAGGGGGCUAGCGUUGCUCGGAAUGACUGGGCGUAAAGGGCGCGUAGGCGGAUGGCACAGUCAGAUGUGAAAUUCCCGGGCUUAACCUGGGGGCUGCAUUUGAUACGUGUUGUCUAGAGUGAGGAAGAGGGUUGUGGAAUUCCCAGUGUAGAGGUGAAAUUCGUAGAUAUUGGGAAGAACACCGGUGGCGAAGGCGGCAACCUGGUCCUUGACUGACGCUGAGGCGCGAAAGCGUGGGGAGCAAACAGGAUUAGAUACCCCCGUAGUCCCUGUCUCUUAUAC